rnacentral:lncRNA from 1 species
GGGAAUAGAAGUAGAGCCUUGAGUCAAGCCUCUUAAACCCUCGAAGCGGAUGCGCGAGGUUGGCGCUACUGGUUCUGUUGAUAUUGGUGGAAAUGGAGGGAAGGGGAAGAAGAGGAAGAAGAAAAUUGAAGAUUCAGCUGCUUUGCCUACGAUUGAGAUUGUCAAAAAAUCCAAAACUCGUAGCCUUGAGGCUCUCAAGAAAAAGAGCUUACUUGGCUAGAGUUCUUCUAGUGAUCAGCUGUGAAGCUCUUCCAGCAAAAGGCUCGAGGUUGUCAAAAGUUCUGAACCUACGAUACGGGAUCCCGGGGUUAAGUCCGAUGCCUCAAAGUCAAAGCUCGAAGCUGCUGGAGCUUUAGCUGGGCUAAAAUUGAAAAAGGCUGGCAAGAAAACUGGAAUAAGAAUUGUGAGUGUCUUAGAUGAUGA